UACGUAGGUGGCAAGCGUUAUCCGGAAUUAUUGGGCGUAAAGAGUGAGCAGGCGGCUACUUAAGUCUGAAGUCAAAUCUAGGGGCUCAACCCCUAAUCGCUUUGGAAACUGGGUGGCUAGAGUACGAGAGAGGUAUGUGGAAUUCCAUGUGUAGCGGUGAAAUGCGUAGAUAUAUGGAGGAACACCAGUGGCGAAGGCGGCAUACUAGCUCGAUACUGACGCUCAUUCACGAAAGCGUGGGUAGCAAAUAGGAUUAGAUACCCUAGUAGUCCACGCCGUAAACUAUGAGAACUAAGUGUUGGAGAAAUCCAGUGCUGAAGCUAACGCAUUAAGUUCUCCGCCUGGGGAGUACGCUCGCAAGAGUGAA
rnacentral:rRNA from 1 species